UACGAAGGGUGCAAGCGUUACUCGGAAUUACUGGGCGUAAAGCGUGCGUAGGUGGUUCGUUAAGUCUGAUGUGAAAUGCCCGGGCUUAACCUGGGAACUGCAUUUGUGACUGCAUGGCUAGAGUUUGGCAGAGGGGGGGUAGAAUUCCACGUGUAGCAGUGAAAUGCGUAGAUAUGUGGGAGGAACACCGAUGGCGAAGGCAGCCCCUGGUCGAAGACGCU
rnacentral:rRNA from 1 species